CGGGCGGGCGGCCGUGAGGGGCGGCGGGGAACCGCCCUGGCGGGGGACCGAGCGCUGGGAGAGCUGCGAGGGACACGCGGCUCCCGCUGAGCCGGUGGCGACAACUGGCGCGAAGAGGUUUGAACGAGAAGGCGGGGCCGUAAAAGCAACCGUGAGCGUUUGCGCCCCGCUGCCACUGCCUCCCGUGGGCUGAGGCCGCCGCCGUUCCCGCCAGGUUUGGUACGGCGCUAUGGGAAACGCACAGGCGGAAGAUGAAGUAGCGCUCUUUGAACGAGAUAUGAAAGAGUUUUGGAUCCAGUUUAAAAUCAGUUAUGGCACUGAACAGAACAAUCAGACGUCAGCGCUGAGAGAUUUGUGCAAGGAGACUUUAGAAGCUCUUUCAGAGAAAUGGUCCAAGAAGCUGAAAGAAGAGGAUGUGAUGAUUGACAAAAUUCACGAGUAUAACAAUGAGAUUCUCCAGCAGAGCAAAUAUGUAGCAGAAAAGGAAGAGGAGUUGACAGAAAUAAAAUCAAAGCUAAAUCAAGAACAAGAGCAGCAGAAGAACUUGACUGACAGCAUCCAAGAGCUUAAAGAAGAGUUGAUGAAGAAAAUGGAAAUAAAAGCUUCUAAAAAUAAAGCUGCCAAGGAGAAAAUGGAACAAGUGAGCAAGAUUAAAACACUGUUUAAAGAGCAUCUUGCACUGGAGAUGCGCAGAAUUCCAGACGAGCAAUUACAGUUUAUAUUCAGACACAUUGACCACAAAGAUCCUGAUAAGCCAUACACGUGUACCAUUUCCAUAAAUGAACAAGGGGACUAUGAAGUGACUUCCUGUACUCCUCCUCUGGACUGUAUUGCAGAGUUACAGCUCAAACUGAGAGAAACUAACAAUUUUUCUGCAUUUGUUGCCAACAUCAGAAAAGCUUUCACUGCUUUAUCAUACAAACAGUCUGCAUGAAACUGGUUUGUACCUCUCCUUCUGGCUGUAGAGCAUCCUUACUCCCUUCCUGUUGCUGAAAUGGUGUAUUUAUCCAUGUCUGACUCCUAAUUUCUAAAUAAAGAUAAUGAAAGCAGUAUUUUAGUCUACUGUUAUCUGGAUACAUUUUGGAUCAUUCUUUGAACAACAGUAUCUGUAACUGCAGCCUUAACUGAAUGUCUCUGGACAGGUAAGCUUUGAUUACAUGCAUUAAUGAUGUAAUGGUUUGUAUUUAGCUGCCCUGGGGAGAUAAUAAAAAUGAAGUACCUUCUGUAGUUUGUUUAUCUUUUCCAAAAGCAUUGAUGUCUCUUUCAAGUUUCUGUGUAGUUGAAAUAGACCUGAAACCUAUUAAAAAAAUAACGUGUGCUGAAGCCUAGCACUUACUUCAGUUACUUGUGUCAUAGGUCAUUGUCUUGAUUUUUACCCUAAUUUGUAUCUACAGUGUUAGCAUUUCUAUUCAUGCUUUUCUUCUGGUCUGUUAAACUUUGUCAUUGGAAAUCUUUUGACGUGGCAAAGCCUGAAGUAUAAUGUAUUCAAGUAUGAAAUAUAGUGGUGACAGAUAAAUAAUGUAAGUAUUUUGCAUCUUAUCAAGAAGACUAUUACUACCACAAUGCUCAGCUUUGAUUGAAAAUAUUCUUUUUCUAUUUUGUAAAGUGUUUUUUUAAAGAAUAUUUAAAAGGACUAUUGCAACAAGAAAGGAAAGGCUUAAUUUGAUAAUAUACCACAGUUCAUAUAAGGUGUUGACUUAAGUUCAGUCCUAGAAAUUGUAGUGAAUCAAAAACUAAUAUUAUGACCUAGUCAUUUAGGCAUGUUUAAAUCUGGUCAUCAGAUCUUAUCUGAUCAGAUAUUCUUAGUACAGUUGGGAAUAUUUCCCAGUCACAUGUGAACUGUAUUUUAAAUAAUUUAGUUUGUCUGAACUUAACCAUAUAGCUUGAUGGAUAUACCACAGACUGCACCCUCGUCUUCUAGGAUCAAAACUUAACAAAAAAAGUAAAAGAAAUAAUCUUCCAUUUCUUCUUCCCUAUGGGGCACAAUUUGCUGCUUUCUAAGUAGUGCAUCAUUUUCCUUGGUGUGUCCUAUUGAUUUUUUUUUCCCUUGUGUUACAGCCAGUUAUACACAAAGAACAGUAAAAGGUGCCAACUGAUUACACUGCACUUUUGGAACUGAGUAGCAGCAGAGAAUUACUAAGCAUUACUAUAAUGACAUCUCAAAUAAAACAAAUCCUCAGUUUCUGCUUUGUGUCGUCUCUCAGGACAAACCCUGUGUCCUCUCUGAGAAUUCUGUAACUGGCAAUGGUCCAAAGAGGCGAGUGAUGGGAGCCUGACUUCAGGGGUCUCAUUGUUCAUUAGUGGAUUUGCUUCCUUUUCAGUCAAAUUAACAGGAUUUAAGUUGCAGGUAUUUCUUUCAACUAAUUGCUUCUACCAUUAAGAGAAUGCUGUAGGCAUUUUUAUGGAUGUCAGUAGACUAGCCAGGGGGUUAAAAAAAUUUAUUGAGCCAGCAGUGCACUUCCCACUUGUGUCAUCUCUCUGAGGCAUUAUGGCUGCUGUUGGCGUCUCUCCCUUGUACAGAAGCCCUUCCACAGGUGAAGCCUGUCCCUUCCAGCUUCUCUCUAAUGGCAUUGCUCACAUUCAGAAUGACUACUCAUUUUGAAACAUAGCCUUGCCCUACGUGCUGUCUGUGCCAAGCACCUCUGUGCUGCUCUGAAAGGAAACUUCAGCAAGCUCAACCAAAUAGUUUACAGCUGUAGUAUGAAAGCAGAAAGACAGGCAGAACACAACCUCCUCCUUUCCAUGAUUUCCAAUGGAGCUGUUUAAUCAUGAAGGGUGUACGUAUUGCUCAGGCACCCUCUGUAACAUUUGUGAUUUGAUCAUGUUCACAGGAGAAAGAAACUGAAAUGCCUGGAGAAAGGAAGACAGAUGUUCAAACUUAGAGCCAUUUUCUUUUCUUGUUAAUCCCAGGCAUAAGUAGACAGUGACAGAAUGAAUUUUCAAGAUUGCUAUGCACAGAACAUAAAAUAUGUGACAACUACUUUAUUGGAAUAUGCAUUCUUAGAAAUGAUAUGCUAGAGAAUAUGAUGUGCCUGGUUAUAAAUGUCCUGUGCAUAUGUCUAAAGCAAGAAAUUGGGAAUAUUUAUUGUGUGCAAUAAAAACCUUUACAACUCCUUCUGGAGCUAGAAUAAUGUGCCUACUUAUAUUUGCCAGAGCAAAUCAGACAGAGAUCUUACUUCCACUAAAAGAGAGCCAGGUAUUCCAAAAGUGGGUUUAAGCUAAGAAAGUGUACACAAUAGAUGUGCUUCUUAUUCUAAAAUAUGAGUAAAACUGGCCUGUGACUUCUAUGAAACAGCCUCAUUCUAGUGGAAGAUCUGUCUUGACAUUUUAAAACCUUUGUUUUAAAUGUACAGUUAGUACUUAUAGAAUGCCACACACCUGGAUCUGUGAUGAUUUGGAAUUUUUUAUUUCUAUUUUCUAUUUGUUAUGAAGCUUCACAAUAAAGUGAGAACAAAUAAUAGUAAAGACAACUAGGAUAACAGAACAGACUGACCCAACAGGUACAGCUAUUGAGAAGCUGAUAUGCUGGUUAGCAGACAGAUACAGACUGAAAUGUCCCAAAGAGCAGAUGGGAAAGCUCUUGAGCUCAAAAGCAAUAUGCAGCUUAGGGCUGUGACACACAAUCAGCUAAUGCUGGUGCUCCAUUUAUUAGCAGGAUCUUAAGGCAGACAUAGAUUUUAAUGAAGGUCAGUAAAGGCUUUUUGAAUAAAUCAAUUUGCACAAUGCUGAACAUUGCUUUCCCUUUCAAAGUGCUGACCCACACUUAGCCACCAAGGGUCAAGUCUGAAAUGCAUGGGCUAUGAACUAAUGCUGACUAUACAGUAAACUGCGGAUGUACUGGUGCUCAGCACCGCAUCAAAUUUAUCUCAUGUUGUAAAAAUCUGGGGAAAAGCUGAAUUUAUGAGAUACUGGAAAUACACAAUGAAUUUAAAGACUGCUGGGAAGACAAAGUAAUAUUAAAUGUUAAUAGCAUAUGUAUUAAAUGUAUUUAAUCACUAUCGUUUGUGUGUUAGCUGGAGGUCAGAUUUGAAAAUAAAUCAAAUUACCGUGACACUCCUGGCUAACAGAACAGUUUUUUUACACACCUAUUCAAACAAGAGUGGAGGUGGUUACUCUUGGAUGUUGUUAGCUAUAUUUUGAAAAACAAACAGGUAUUGGCUACACUUGUGAAAAUAAAAAAAGACAUGGAAGUAUGCUGUGCU